GCUGAUUGUGUGUGCCUGGGUGGAGUAUUUAGGAGCCAGCCACCAGUUGUUCGAUGCCUGAGCAUUUUGCCCAUUUGUACCUGUGAGGUGUGGGCAGAUGCCAGGCAACCCCAGACCUAGACUACCUGUACUUCAUUCUGACAGUUUGUGAGUUUGGAUUUUCUGUACUCGACUGUUGGCUUGGCUCCUGGACCCUACUAAGACCCUGUCCCUGUGAGUACUCUGUCCCGCCGUGGAUCGAUCCUUGCUGGACCACUUUCUGGAUUGCCUGACUCCCUGCCCCAUUGGAAGGCCCCCCUCCGGUUCAGUAACAAUCAGAGACGAAAGAACCCGAGAAGCCUGCGAUGUGCUUUCCUGACUGGAGUUUUGGUGUAACUUUAAACAAGACCAUUAAAAUAAACCUUCUAACCUUC